GCAUGCUAGUUGCACGAGUUUAGACUCGUAGCAGAUAGCUCAGUAACACGUGGCCAAACUACCCUAUGGAUCCGGACAACCUCGGGAAACUGAGGCCAAUCCGGAAUACGGCUCUCAGCCUGGAAGUGGCGAGAGUCAGAAACGCUCCGGCGCCAUAGGAUGUGGCUGCGGCCGAUUAGGUAGACGGUGGGGUAACGGCCCACCGUGCCCAUAAUCGGUACGGGUUGUGAGAGCAAGAGCCCGGAGACGGUAUCUGAGACAAGAUACCGGGCCCUACGGGGCGCAGCAGGCGCGAAACCUUUACACUGCACGAAAGUGCGAUAAGGGGACUCCAAGUGCGAGGGCAUAUAGUCCUCGCUUUUCACUACCGUAAGGUGGUAGUAGAAUAAGUGCUGGGCAAGACCGGUGCCAGCCGCCGCGGUAAUACCGGCAGCACGAGUGAUGACCGCUCUUAUUGGGCCUAAAGCGUCCGUAGCUGGCCACGCAAGUCUAUCGGGAAAUCCGCGCGCUCAACGCGCGGGCGUCCGGUGGAAACUGUGUGGCUUGGGACCGGAAGAUCCAGAGGGUACGUCUGGGGUAGGAGUGAAAUCCCGUAAUCCUGGACGGACCACCGGUGGCGAAAGCGCUCUGGAAAGACGGAUCCGACGGUGAGGGACGAAAGCUCGGGUCACGAACCGGAUUAGAUACCCGGGUAGUCCGAGCUGUAAACGAUGUCUGCUAGGUGUGCCACAGGCUACGAGCCUGUGGUGUGCCGUAGGGAAGCCGUGAAGCAGACCGCCUGGGAAGUACGUCCGCAAGGAUGAAACUUAA
rnacentral:rRNA from 1 species